GUCCCGGAAGCGCAAUAGAUAGCGCGUUGGACUUCAAAUCGAAAGGUCGUGGGUUCGAAUUCCACCUGGAAUG
rnacentral:tRNA from 1 species